AAUAUUGCUUUGCAUUAUAUUAGAAAGACCAGAUCCAUUUCCUUAUUAUCGUCGUCGUCGCUACAAUCCGCUUCACCGCCGCCGUCGUCGUUCCUCUGUUGGGAAGUAAAAAAAAAUGAAACCUAGAUGCUACAAUCACAAACCGGAUCAUGGACAAGCUUUGUAACCAACUAGAUAGAGAAGCACAAGCAAAUGAUACAAUGCCUACUAGAAUGAGAAUAGUGUUCACGGAUGAAACGACUUAAUGAAUCGAACAUAUAAAUCGAUAUUAGAAUUGCUUUGAAUCGUCUUUCCGAUCAUGAAUAGAUAAAAAAGAAUGCGAUCCUAGGGCAGGAAAGCGCAUGAUGU